rnacentral:lncRNA from 1 species
AUACGGAAACUUAUCACGCACCGUUAUGGAUUGUUAGGUAAAAGUGGUCCACAUCAAUAAUUCGUUUUAAGUAUGUUGCGACCUUAAUUAAUCUCAACCUCUACUUAAUAAAUAGGUCAACUCGAGACUUUUUCUUACAUAAAUGAGACGGCUUCUAUAAAUAGUAUGAAAGUUCAUUACAGAAAUGUCAAAUUCAAUUUUUUUUUUUUUUUUGCCGUCUAGAUUUAUUAUUAGUUGCAAAUUAUGAGAACUGUUACAUAGACGAUUCUACAACUGACAAUUUCUGCCGACCCUUAGUAGAUCCACGACAGACUACACUUCCUUCUUCAUGAUCUUGAUGAAUACCUUCAAUGAUCCACGACCUAGCGACACUUCCUUCUCUGCGUAGAAUCCUGGCGCACGGCUAUAAUUGUACAUCGCUGGAGACCUCCUGCACACUUGCCUCAAUUAAUCUGCAAAUUUGUUAAUAAAUCGCAAUAUCUGGGACUCGAACCCCAGACUUUUUAGUGUAGAAGCAUUAAUCAACCCUUGGUCAACCAAUGGGCCAAGGGGGC